ensembl:snoRNA
UUCCUCUUGAGAACACUUGCUGGGUCUGAUCUGUGGCCUGGGGAGCUGUCAGGGAAGGGCAAAGCAGUUGGCCAUUGCUGUGGGUGAGAUGGCAGCAGGAUGUGCUGUCUGUCUCAGUCAGUUGUGGGACAGAC